rnacentral:rRNA from 1 species
UACGAAGGGGGGCUAGCGUUGCUCGGAAUCACUGGGCGUAAAGGGCGCGUAGGCGGCCAUUCAAGUCAGAGGUGAAAGCCCAAGGCUCAACCUUGGAAUUGCCUUUAUACUGUUUGGCUUGAGACCGGAAGAGGUUAGUGGAACUGCGAGUGUAGAGGUGAAAUUCGUAGAUAUUCGCAAGAACACCAGUGGCGAAGGCGCUAACUGGUCCGGUUCUGACGCUGAGGCGCGAAAAGCGUGGGGGAGCAAACAGG